rnacentral:rRNA from 1 species
UGUAUUGGUAAUUAUUCUAAAAGUACCGGAUUGUGUCUGAUUUUGGAAGCUAAGCAGGGUCAUAGCUGAUUAGUACUUGGAUGGGAGACCACUAGUGAAAACCAGGUGCUGUAGGCU